GCCGGCAGCCGGUGUGCAGGGGCUGCUGUGAGCCGAGGGAGGAGCGGAGGCGUCGCCGGGCUGCGGCUGCACGGAGGGAGAAGGCCGCGCUGAGGACGUGGUUGCCCGUCCCUCCCUUGGGAUGCCGUCGACUGCACCCGCCUCGCCUGUGCCUGGCCUGGCUCGCCUCGUGGCGUGGGGGCGAAAAGGGACAGGCGGCGGAGCGCUUACCGGCCGUGGACAGCAGCUGCCCUAAGGGAAGCUGGAAUGGCCAGAGAAAGGUGAAGAAGAAGAAGAAGAAGAAUGGAAGGCUCUCCGGCCGGCAGCUGCCUCCCGCUGCAGGCAAGAGAGCGCCUGCCUCGCCGGGCGGAGGACAGCCGAGCGACCGGAGUGACAGCAAAGGAAAGGCGGAGAGCGGGAGAAAGAAGCGUCUGCGCUGGCAAGCUCUCCCGGCAGCGCCGAGAGCCAGAGCUGCGGUGCUGCUGCGCCGAUGCUCCGUACGUUCGCAGUAACGGGUAGAGCGGAAGGCUCCGUGGCCAGGGAAGAGCGGCACGGACACGUUCCUGCUCGCUCCGUUGCACCGGAAUUUCGACGGCUGGGUUCGGCCGCUAAAUUGAUGGCGCUACCGGAAGAAAUUUCAGAAAAAAAGGGUGGCUUUUUCGUCGAUCUCUUUGUGAGAGUAUCAAAUCAGGCGGCGGUAAAUACGUAGAAGCAACUAGGCGUACUACGGCGUGUACCGGACAGCGUUGGCGUGCCGCUCUGCUAGCAGCGGAGAGCCAGAUGAGGAUGCCCGUGAUAUGAGAAAAGCUCUGUCCAGAGAUAUGGAGACGAAAUCAGUUGUACCUCACCCUGUGACACCGGAAGACAUUGAGUAACUGUAAG